rnacentral:lncRNA from 1 species
AUGACUAAAACUAAAUUUCAUUUUGUUUUUUCAAGAAAUCCUGGCCGCUGCAAGGAGCUCCUUUUGCUUUGUUUUUCCGAUUUCCUGAUUGGGCGAUAUCUUGAAGUAAAUGUUAUCAGUGGGGAGGAGUUACUAAUUGCUGUGCGUGAACCAUUUUCUUGGAAAAAGCUUAAAAGUUCACAAGCAUUAACAUCUGCAAAAACUACAGUUGUUGUGACCCCACAGAAAAGGAACUCAAUACAACAACUUCCAAGUUUUCUUCCACAAUAUCCAAUCCCAGAUAGACUUAGAAAAUGUGUGGAACAAAAAAUUGACAUCCUGACUUUCCAGCCAUUACUUGCAGAGGUAGGAAGUGUCUGAUAGCCUGUGGGGUGUUUGCAUCUUCUAAUGCU